rnacentral:rRNA from 1 species
CUACGAGGACGAACGCUGGCGGUGUGCUUCACACAUGCAAGUCGAACGAGGUAGCAAUACCUAGUGGCGGACGGGUGAGUAACGCGUGGGAAUCUGCCUUUAGAUGGGGGAUAACGGGUCGAAAGACUCGCUAAUACCGCAUAUGACGAAAGUUGAAAGGAGUAAUCCGUCUAAAGAUGAGCCCGCGUCCGAUUAGCUAGUUGGUAGAGUAAAAGCCUACCAAGGCGACGAUCGGUAGCUGGUCUGAGAGGAUGAUCAGCCACAAUGGGACUGAGACACGGCCCAUACUCCUACGGGAGGCAGCAGUGGGGAAUUUUACGCAAUGGGCGAAAGCCUGACGUAGCGACACCGCGUGAGCGAAGAAGCCCCUUGGGGUGUAAGGCUCUGUCAGCUGGAACGAAAAAAUGACGGUACCAGCAGAGGAAGCAUCGGCUAACUACGUG